GAUGAACGCUGGCGGCGUGCCUAAUACAUGCAAGUCGAGCGAACAGACGAGGAGCUUGCUCCUCUGACGUUAGCGGCGGACGGGUGAGUAACACGUGGAUAACCUACCUAUAAGACUGGGAUAACUUCGGGAAACCGGAGCUAAUACCGGAUAACAUGUUGAACCGCAUGGUUCAACAGUGAAAGACGGUCUUGCUGUCACUUAUAGAUGGAUCCGCGCCGCAUUAGCUAGUUGGUAAGGUAACGGCUUACCAAGGCAACGAGGCGUAGCCGACCUGAGAGGGUGAUCGGCCACACUGGAACUGAGACACGGUCCAGACUCCUACGGGAGGCAGCAGUAGAGAAUCUUCCGCAAUAGGCGAAAGCCUGACGGAGCAACGCCGCGUGAGUGAAGAAGGUCUUCGGGUCGUAAAACUCUGUUAUUAGGGAAGAACAAAUGUGUAAGUAACUAUGCACGUCUUGACGGUACCUAAUCAGAAAGCCACGGCUAACUACGUG
rnacentral:rRNA from 1 species